GGGAAGUGCAGAGCUGGAUGUCUCUGUAACAGAAAGAGAUGUGACUCCAAGAUGUUGAACCCCAGUACGAAAACUGAACACUGUCUUGUGAAUGACCUAGCUGUUAAAAAUCAGAGGGAGAAGCUCUUCAGUGGAGGAGGACAGAAACACCCAUCUUGAACACUCUUAUCUUCUGCAUCCUGGAAGUAGCUGGAGAUUCUAGGAUGGUGGGAAAGGCAUGGUAUAGGAACAAGUCACUCAGAGGAUGUCGCUGGCUCCCCCUCUCCACCCUUCCCAGACACGUUUACCACUUGGCACCUUUUGUGGCUCCUUUCAAUCCCUUCUCAAAUACUGUGGCUCUGAUUUAUAUAAGUGAUGUGUCCAAAGGCGUGUCCAUGACAAAAUGUUUUCCCUCUGAGAUAUAAAGAGAGACUUUUAGACUUUGAUCAUUCAUUCAUGUAUUAGGCGAUAAACUUUCGUGUUCUUACAGCCAGCCGAACACCUAAGAACUAGGGAUUCAGAGAUUGGGAACCUGCCCCAAACAGUCUACUCUUGAUAAAUAAUUACAAGCAAUACAAUAAUUCUUUCUGUAGGAGACAAAAUACUCUCUCUUGUAAGAACAUGGGCUUGGGAGCCCUGAGGAGGGAAAAAGGGAUUGCAUGAGAAGGUUUGGGGAGUAGAGUUCACAGAGCCGUGGUACUUGAGCAGGGUUUAAAUGGCCUUUUGUUCUUUGAGGUGUAUGGUGGAAGCAAAUGUAUGGCCACAUGCGGCCUAGGCAAGCAUUCUACCACUGAGUCACACUCUAAACCAAGGAAUCUAAAGGACAAUCAGUAAGAAGUUGGCUUUCCUAAGCAAGAGAAAGGAAUGCAUUUUAGGGGGAAGGAGCAUUGUACUCUGGGGACCUACAAAUAGGGUUACAAGAUAUUUUCACCCAAAUACCAGGUCAGAUAGAAAGUGGAAAAUAACUUAAAAUUUAAAGUGUGGAUAUUGU
rnacentral:lncRNA from 1 species